rfam:Ovis aries breed Texel chromosome 2, whole genome shotgun sequence.
CCCUGGUGGCUCAGAUGGUAAAGAAGCUGCCUGCAAUGCAGGAGACCUGGGUUCAAUUCCUGGAUCAGGAA